GCCGGGCGUGGUGGCGCAUGCCUGUAGUCCCAGCUACUUGGGAGGCUGAGGCAGGAGAGUUGCUUGAACCUGGGAGGUGGAGGUUGCAAUGAGCUGAGAUUGCACCAUUGCACUCCAGCCUGGGUGACAGAGCGAGACUCUGUCUCAA
rfam:Gorilla gorilla gorilla genomic chromosome, chr5, whole genome shotgun sequence